UGUCAAGCUAAGGUAGUAGUAGCUAGGACUAGGAGAGAUGGAAAGGGAGAAGAUGGAGAGGGGCAAGUCUGAGCUGAGGAUGGCCAUCGACGACCUCUGCUUGCCCAGCUCAGGAGAUGGUGAAUAUCAGGAGCAGCAGGGGAAAGUUAGGAGGCCAUCCACCAUGGAUCUCCUCUGUGUCUCCAACCAGCUUCUACGUGUCCUUGAUGGAUUGGGCCAACGCUUCUAGUCCUCAGACAAGACAUUAAGCAAAAUGUUGAGACAAUACAAUAUCUCCAUGCAAGAGACUCUUUGAAGUAUGCGAGCUUGACGGCGAUCGUGAUAGAGGAAGUGGAGGAAGGGACCUCGAAGAAGGCCCACAGUUGUACCAGGGCAAUUAUCUGGCUGGCUAGGUCGGUGGAUUUCUCGAUAUGUUUGCUGGAGAGAUUAGUGAAGAACCCAGAGUCAAGCCUGCAAGAGAUGGUGGAAGAAGCAUAUGAGAGCACCCUGAAGCCAUUCCAUGGAUGGAUCUCAUCAGCUGCUUACAGGGUAUGGCCACUUUGAUCAGCUGUCCAUCAUCAUGGCUGCUACAUAUUUUACAUGACCGUAUAAGCUACUCCCUCCGUUCACUUUUGUAAGUCAUUUCAGAUAACUCAAAAUGGGCUAUUUUGUACAUUGUCUGAAAUGUCUUCAAGGUCUUAUAAAAAUGAACAGAGGAAGUAACAAUUUUCUGAAGAUUGUUCCAGCGAUAAAUCUAGUACUCCCUCUUUUUUCACUGUAUGCUUUGUUUUUCGCCGUCAAAGAUGCGAUUGGGCCAACGCUUCUAGUCCUCAGGCAAGACAUUCAGCAAAAUGUUCAGCGAAGCGAUCACAGUUAUCUAUCUUUCCUUAUGCAGAGAUUACAGGAUCUCCAUGCAAGAGACACCUCGAAAUACGCGGGCUUGAUGGAGAUCGUGAUGGAAGAAAUGGAGGAAGGGACCUCAAAGAAGACCAACAGUUGUACAAGGGCAAUUAUCUGGCUGGCUAGGUCGGUGAAUUUCUCGAUAUGUUUGCUGGAGUGAUUAGUGAAGAACCCAGAGUCAAGCCUGCAAGAGAUGGUGGAAGAAGCAUACGAGAGCACCCUGAAGCCAUUCCAUGGAUGGAUCUCAUCAGCUGCUUACAGGGUAGCAUUGCGACUCAUUCCAGAGAGAGACAUCUUCAUUGAGUUGCUAAUGGGGAACUGCCAGAAUACCGGGGAUUUUGGGGAAGAUGUCAUGAUCUUGGUCUCCAUUGUACAGCCUCUGCUAGAGGAGAUCAAUGUCAUCUACAGAUGUCUGCGUUGUAUUUGUUGUUGUACCUGUAGUUUAAUAGCCGGUUGGAUGUAUCGUGUCAGAGGACUUAAAAUAACUGAAGCACAAUGCAUCUCUUG